CGAUGAACCACUUCGGUGGGGAUUAGUGGCGAACGGGUGAGUAACACGUGGGCAAUCUGCCCUGCACUCUGGGACAAGCCCUGGAAACGGGGUCUAAUACCGGAUACUGAUCAUCUUGGGCAUCCUUGGUGAUCGAAAGCUCCGGCGGUGCAGGAUGAGCCCGCGGCCUAUCAGCUUGUUGGUGAGGUAAUGGCUCACCAAGGCGACGACGGGUAGCCGGCCUGAGAGGGCGACCGGCCACACUGGGACUGAGACACGGCCCAGACUCCUACGGGAGGCAGCAGUGGGGAAUAUUGCACAAUGGGCGAAAGCCUGAUGCAGCGACGCCGCGUGAGGGAUGACGGCCUUCGGGUUGUAAACCUCUUUCAGCAGGGAAGAAGCGAAAGUGACGGUACCUGCAGAAGAAGCGCCGGCUAACUACGUGCCAGCAGCCGCGGUAAUACGUAGGGCGCGAGCGUUGUCCGGAAUUAUUGGGCGUAAAGAGCUCGUAGGCGGCUUGUCGCGUCGGUUGUGAAAGCCCGGGGCUUAACCCCGGGUCUGCAGUCGAUACGGGCAGGCUAGAGUUCGGUAGGGGAGAUCGGAAUUCCUGGUGUAGCGGUGAAAUGCGCAGAUAUCAGGAGGAACACCGGUGGCGAAGGCGGAUCUCUGGGCCGAUACUGACGCUGAGGAGCGAAAGCGUGGGGAGCGAACAGGAUUAGAUACCCUGGUAGUCCACGCCGUAAACGGUGGGCACUAGGUGUGGGCGACAUUCCACGUCGUCCGUGCCGCAGCUAACGCAUUAAGUGC
rnacentral:rRNA from 2 species